CCGCCCAGCGGCCGCACCAGCCCGAAGUCGGCCACCUUGAUGGUGCGCGGGGAGGCCAGCAGCAGGUUGCGUGUGGCGAGGUCUCGGUGCACCAGCCCGCGGGCCUCCAGGUCCUCGGGCCUGACAAAGUCGAAGUGCUCCGGCCGGGUAACAUUAAGUUCCUCGAGGAUGGGUCGGUAAAACUGGGCCAGCUGGAUGUCCCGGAGCAGCCGAAGCAGCCACAGCGAACCCACCUCGGGGAGCAUGUCUGCACAAGGAAUCCCUGAGGAUGACGCACCCACCUCAACACAUAGCCCAGGGGGUCCCAGGGAGGAAGUCACAAGUCUCAGGACAUCUGGCCUGUCUCCUUCUGUUCUGAGGCAGGAUGUGUGAGCUAUCCCCAGAGUCCCUUGGAGGGAAACAUCUACCCCAUCUGGGUAAGCACACGGGAUAUUCCAGCACUGGUGGGAAA